ACAGGGAGCCCAUCCUGUUUCAGGCAGCAGACAACAAUUGAAGUGACCCCAGAGGCAGGAGCCAGGCUGCCCCAGGACAAUGAGUCCCGGAGUCUACGUGAAAUAAACAUAGCUGCUUGUUCUCAGAGCCAGCUCUCAACACGCACAGAUGGCACAUGCCAAUUAAUGGAUAUAAUUUAUAUUACAGGCCUUCGUCAAGAAAUAAGCUGGAGAACAAUGGAGGAAAAUGCUCAGCUUAAGUCUCCUGUCCACACCAAAGUCCACACAUACACACACACACACACACGCACACACACACACACACACCCUACUAUAUUGAAAGGAAGUAGAAAAUUGGUGAAAAUUAACCAAGCAAAAUUUGCAAAGCUGACCAGGGGCCCAUUAAAGCUCACACAGUGUGUUUACUGCUGAGCGGCCCAGAGUGUAUUCAGAAGGAGCUAAGUGGUGCUUUUAGCAUUUCUGGCAGAGAAGAGUUACCUCAGAAAUGGCCUGACAUGCUAACAGAAAUGGUGACUCACUUUCAGAGUGCAGAUUUCCAUAAUAUCAACAGAUCUUUCAUAAAUCACAUCCAUUAUUGCUUUGGACGAAUCUGUUUUGUCAAACAGCCAAGAAAUAUAUGAACCUAUGUUUAGCAUUGCAACCAGGGCUCAUGGGGUUGAAUAAUUAAUAUUGUGGAAAUGGCAAUACUACUCAGAACAAACAAUCUUUAAAUUCAUACCCGAAUCACUGGAGACCCGAGAUGGACAAAGCAGCCUUGGGGAAAGAGACAACGCUGGAGGGAUCGCCAUACCUGAUACCAGGUUAGACUACAGAGCCACAUUCUUGUGCACCAUGGAGGAUCUCAGAGCAGGCUACAGCCUGGGCAAACAGCUACACAUGGCCCAGUUCCACCAUUCCUGAGUACCCUAAGGCUUCCACAUCAAUAUAUCCCAGCGAUAUUUAUUCACUGAAGCACUGUUUACAAUUCUUAGGUUAUGAACCUAACCUAGGAACUCAUCGACAGAAGGGUAGAUAUAAAAAAUUUGGUAUAUAUACACACACAAAAUGAAACUUCAGGCAUGAUGCAAGAAAAUAUGUGAAAAAAUUACAUUUAUGUUUUCUCUCUGUAGUUCCAAAGGUUUAUAUAAAUAAAAUCAUGUGUGUAUAACUGACAUGAAAAAUGCAAGUGAACCUGUCUAAAGGAAGGGGGGCUAACAGGAAGGUAGAUGGGAGGAGGGAGGUGCAUGGGUGUGUGGCAAACUCAACAUAUGGUAUACAUGUGUAACAUAACACAACAUAUAGUAUAUGUGUGUAACAUAUACUCAACAUACAGUAUACAUGUGUAGUAUACACUCAACAUACAGUAUACAUGUGUAACAUAUACUCAACAUAGAUGUACAUGUGUAACAUACACACAACACACAAUUCAAAGAUUCUCAUGAACAAAGAAUAGUAGGCUUAGUUCUUUCUGCUUUUGUUCAGUCUGUUCUUUUAGUUCAUUUUCUUUUUGUUAUUAAGAGUCUAGCUUUUUAGACUGUGGGUUGCAAUUCCACAUGAAGAGUCUAGCUUUUUAAACUGUGGAUUGCAAUUCCACAUGAAGUCAUACAUGUCUAGAAUCCAGACGAGAUUGUAGUCCAAAGUGCAGGACUGAAAGUGUUUACAGAUGAAAUUGCUAUGAAAAUUUUAAUAAAGAAUAUACACUGUAAACAGAACAUGGGCAGAAAACACAACAGAGAGGUGGGAGUGGAGAUACAGAGAGACACAGAGACAGAGAGACACACGCAGAGAGACAUAUACACACAGAAAGACAGACGAAAACACACAGAGAAAAUGAAUCCUGAGGAGAAAUGGAGUCUUUCCAUAGAAAUUAAGAGAUGUUACCUGUCCUUGUCUCAUAGGCUGUUUGUAUAUAAUUUUAUAAUAUCAUUUCUUAACAAAGAUUUCUCUGCUUGGCUAUACCUGCCUAUCUAAUGUUUCCACCAAUGUAUUUGAAAAGUUAUAUAUAACUUUCCUUGCUCUGUUACUAUAAAAACCAUCAUAAAGUUGUUCUCAUGUUGGAAUGUGGUAUUUGGGG
ensembl:processed_transcript 5330413P13Rik RIKEN cDNA 5330413P13 gene